GCCACUUUAGCUCAGAUGGUAGAGCAACUGAUUCGUAAUCAGUAGGUCAGCGGUUCGAUUCCGCUAAGUGGCU
rnacentral:tRNA from 1 species